GUCAAUAUAGGAUAUUUUUAUCUACCAUUGCAGUCUACAUCACUUCGGUAUUAACCAUCUCAAGCUAAAAUAUGCCAGACCAUUUGGGCCUUCGUAUAAUGAUGUUGUGAUUUAUUGCACUCUCAGUUUCCAUCCUGCAGCAAUUACCAGAAGAGCUGAUAAUGGUCUGCAAUUUGUUUUCCAGAACUGGGAGUAGCUGCCAGCAAGAGCCGCUCGCAGGGAAAGGUAGUGGCUGUUUACCUGGAUUGCUCAGCCAGACCAGGGAGGACAGACGCAAAUUCAUCCCCUGGACUAUGCCAUUGGCUCUGAAAGCAUCCAAGGUAUGGUUAAGGCCCACUAUUUUCUGUAAUUACUCUACCAUUGUUUCAUUUGUUAACCAGCUAACUAGGUGGUUCAUUCUCUUUACUCCGAGGUAAUGUAUGGGACACCUUGAUCCUGCAUAUAGAGACUUUUUACUGUAACACUACAUUUAAGCCAUUUUUAUGUGGUAUAGUGAGAAGAAUGGUUUGCUUUUAGUUUGCAUGAAUUACAUCCAAACCUGUGAAACUACAUUUUUAAAACUAGUUUUGCAAAUAGCAACACAUGUUAAUUGAAAGCAACCCCGCUCCCCAAAUCCUCACUAGAUUGAUUUUGGAACAUUACAAACCAGUGACAUUCAUUUCUGCAGCCUCAUUCAACCAUUGCAAUGAGCAAAUGAAACAAUUGUUUUAUUUGUAAGAGGAGAUUAUCCCUUCAAGGCAGAUAGAAGGAUAGUGCCUACAGAACCCCAUUUGCAGGCACAAAGAGCGCUUAGUCAAUUUUUGGCACUGAUACUGAAGCUAUUAGUUUUGGAUAUGAGUUCACUGAUGUUCAGUGCUGUAGAUUUCCAGCUAGUUCAUGAAGGGCCUUUAAAAUUACACACAGAGCUUCAUUAAUUGCCUCAGAAAAGCAGCAACAAAUACCAGGCCCUCAAAGUGUCUGUGCACAGAAUGGCCAUUGAUCUCAAUGAAUAUUCCUCACUGGAGGACUGAUCCUACCUCCUGGGAAGGCAGGCACAGUUUUUCCAUUGGUUGCAGCAGGCAUUGGCUCAAAGUACAAGAGCUUUCGCAAGAUCAGGUCCCACUAGCUGCUCUCGGCCUAUCUAUCUAUUUAAUUAUCUACGUAUUUGUUUUAUAUGCACUUACACAUACAUACAUAUACAUGAUCUUGGUUUGUUAAAAAUUUAACUCAAAUUGGAGACCAAUUUAAUACCAAAGAUGAGGCUUUAAA
rnacentral:lncRNA from 1 species